UACGUAGGGUGCGAGCGUUAAUCGGAAUUACUGGGCGUAAAGCGUGCGCAGGCGGUUCGUUGUGUCGGCGGUGAAAGCCCCGGGCUUAACCUGGGAAUGGCCGUUGAAACUGGCGAACUGGAGUGUGGCAGAGGGUGGUGGAAUUCCGCGUGUAGCAGUGAAAUGCGUAGAGAUGCGGAGGAACACCGAUGGCGAAGGCAGCCCCCUGGGCUGACACUGACGCUCAGGCACGAAAGCGUGGGGAGCAAACAGG
rnacentral:rRNA from 1 species